rnacentral:rRNA from 1 species
CGGGGUGCAGCAGGCGCGAAACCUCUGCAAUAGGCGAAAGCUUGACAGGGUUACUCUGAGUGACGUCCGUUAAGGACGUCUUUUGGCACCUCUAAAAAUGGUGCAGAAUAAGGGGUGGGCAAGUCUGGUGUCAGCCGCCGCGGUAAUACCAGCACCCCGAGUGGUCGGGACGAUUAUUGGGCCUAAAGCAUCCGUAGCCGGUUCUGCAAGUCUUCCGUUAAAUCCACCUGCUCAACAGAUGGGCCGCGGAGGAUACUACAGGGCUAGGAGGCGGGAGAGGCAAGCGGUACUCAGUGGGUAGGGGUAAAAUCCUCUGAUCCACUGAAGACCACCAGUGGCGAAGGCGGCUUGCCAGAACGCGCUCGACGGUGAGGGAUGAAAGCUGGGGGAGCAAACCGGAUUAGAUACCCGGGUAGUCCCAGCUGUAAACGAUGCAGACACGGUGAUGGGUUGGCUUCGAGCCAACCCAGUGCCGCAGGGAAGCCGUUAAGUCUGCCGCCUGGGGAGUACGGUCGCAAGACUGAAACUUAAAGGAAUUGGCGGGGAG